rnacentral:rRNA from 1 species
CCUCGGGAGGCUGCAGUGGGGAAUAUUGGACAAUGGGCGAAAGCCUGAUCCAGCCAUGCCGCGUGUGUGAAGAAGGCCUUCGGGUUGUAAAGCACUUUCAGUGGGGAAGAAAGCCUUGGGGCUAAUACCCUCGAGGAAGGACAUCACCCACAGAAGAAGCACCGGCUAACUCCGUGCCAGCAGCCGCGGUAAUACGGAGGGUGCGAGCGUUAAUCGGAAUUACUGGGCGUAAAGCGCGCGUAGGCGGUCUGAUAAGCCGGUUGUGAAAGCCCCGGGCUCAACCUGGGAACGGCAUCCGGAACUGUCAGGCUAGAGUGCAGGAGAGGAAGGUAGAAUUCCCGGUGUAGCGGUGAAAUGCGUAGAGAUCGGGAGGAAUACCAGUGGCGAAGGCGGCCUUCUGGACUGACACUGACGCUGAGGUGCGAAAGCGUGGGUAGCAAACAGGAUUAGAUACCCUGGUAGUC